GACGGAGGGUGCGAGCGUUAAUCGGAAUUACUGGACGUAAAGCGCAUGUAGGCGGCCGAACAAGUCAGGUGUGAAAUCCUCGGGCUUAACCUGGGAAGUGCACUUGAUACUGUCCGGCUAGAGUUUGGCAGAGGAAAGUAGAAUUCCCGGUGUAGCGGUGAAAUGCGUAGAUAUCGGGAGGAAUACCAGUGGCGAAGGCGGCUUUCUGGGCCAAUAGUGACGCUGAGGUGAGAAAGCGUGGGGAGCAAACAGG
rnacentral:rRNA from 1 species